UACGGAGGGUGCAAGCGUUGUUCGGAAUUAUUGGGCGUAAAGGGCAGGUAGGUGGUCUUGAAAGUCUACUGUGAAAUCCCCGAGCUUAACUUGGGAAGUGCGGUGGAUACUCCAAGACUAGAGUGCUGGAGGGGUGCGUGGAAUUCCCGGUGUAGCGGUGAAAUGCGCAGAUAUCAGGAAGAACACCCGUGGCUAAGGCGGCUCUCUAGUACGGUACUGACGCUGAGACGCGAAAGCGUGGGGAGCGAACAGG
rnacentral:rRNA from 1 species